rnacentral:rRNA from 1 species
AACGAACGCUGGCGGCAUGCCUAACACAUGCAAGUCGAACGAGACCUUCGGGUCUAGUGGCGCACGGGUGCGUAACGCGUGGGAACCUGCCCUUAGGUUCGGAAUAACUCCCCGAAAGGGGUGCUAAUACCGGAUAAUGUCUUCGGACCAAAGAUUUAUCGCCUUUGGAUGGGCCCGCGUUGGAUUAGCUAGUUGGUAGGGUAAAAGCCUACCAAGGCGACGAUCCAUAGCUGGUCUGAGAGGAUGAUCAGCCACACUGGGACUGAGACACGGCCCAGACUCCUACGGGGGGAAGCAGGGGGGAAUAUUGGACAAGGGGCGAAAGCCUGACCCAGCAAUGCCGGGUGGGUGAUGAGGGCCUUAGGGUUUUAAAGCUCUUUUACCCGGGAUGAUAAGAAAGGAACCGGGGGAAAAAGCCCCGGCUAACCCCGU